AACGUAGGACACGAGCGUUAUCCGGAGUUACUGGGCGUAAAGGGCGUUCAGGCGGGUGAUUAAGUUCGCUAUGAAAGCGCCGGGCUAAACCCGGCGAGGCUGGCGGAUACUGGUCAUCUGGAGUGAGACAGAGGGAGGUAGAAUUCCGCGUGUAGUGGUGAAAUGCGUAGAGAUGCGGAGGAAUACCAGUGGCGAAGGCGGCAUCCUGGACCAACACUGACACUGAGGAGCGAAAGCCAGGGGAGCAAACGGG
rnacentral:rRNA from 1 species